UAUCAAAACACUUCUUUUUUAUUUUCUUGUUUUUGUUUUUUUUUUUUCCCUCUACUUCGAAUCCAUCGACUCAUCUAGGGUUUCUUUCUACUUUCCCUUUCUUUCCCUUUCAAAAACUCGAUCGUUGUUGCCACCCAGAGACAGAGGAGAGACACACCAUUGUUGGCUCUACUCCGACCUAUCCUUUGUUGCCACCACCGUCGUCGCACCACCGUUGUCGCCACAAUUAUAGGUUGCGUCUGUGCCGGUGCCACUGCAGACUAUCUAAAUUUCUCAACUUUGACUCAGAUCCAACCAUCGCCCUGUGUUUUGUUGUUUCCAAUUGUUCUCAUCGUUCAAGUCUCUCAGUUAACCAAGUUCUUAGAGUUGGGGCAGUUCGAUCAUGAUCCAAGUUUUCUUGCAGAUACAACUGGACUUUCUGCUGAUAGAACUGGCCAAGUUGGUACUUACUUCUACACUGCACCUGAAAUUGAGCAAGGAGGCCUAAAAUUGAUGAAAAGUGGUGACUGUGGCAUUUUUGUGCUCAAGUCCAUGGAGUUUUUACAUGCUAGAUUACCAUUGAGUUUCACACAAGAUGACAUAGAGUUCUACAUGCUAGAUUAUCAUUGAGUUUCACAAAAGAUGACAUGGAGUUCUUUAAGAGGAAGUAAGUUCAUGAGGCUUACAACAAGGAACUAAGCAUAUGAGUUGAGUGGUUGAUUUAUGGACAGCAUAAUAUUAUUUUUACUACUUUGUCUUUGUUACUUUCAUCAUAUUUAUAAAUGCAUCCUUUUUCUUAUAUUAGCCUUUUAAAUGUAAAGAUAAUAAUGGCUUAUGAUGUUCAUUUAACAAAGAUAAUGAUGUGUUUUGAUGUAAGGAUAACUAAUUUACUUUAUAGAAAAUGUACCAUGUUUAUGUAUUAGAAUUCCAUUA